rnacentral:rRNA from 1 species
CCUACGGGAGGCAGCAGUGGGGAAUAUUGGACAAUGGGGGAACCCUGAUCCAGCCAUGCCGCGUGUGUGAAGAAGGCCCUCGGGUUGUAAAGCACUUUCAGUGAGGAAGAACGCCUGGUGGUUAAUACCCAUCAGGAAAGACAUCACUCACAGAAGAAGCACCGGCUAACUCCGUGCCAGCAGCCGCGGUAAUACGGAGGGUGCGAGCGUUAAUCGGAAUUACUGGGCGUAAAGCGCGCGUAGGUGGCUUGAUAAGCCGGUUGUGAAAGCCCCGGGCUCAACCUGGGAACGGCAUCCGGAACUGUCAAGCUAGAGUGCAGGAGAGGAAGGUAGAAUUCCCGGUGUAGCGGUGAAAUGCGUAGAGAUCGGGAGGAAUACCAGUGGCGAAGGCGGCCUUCUGGACUGACACUGACACUGAGGUGCGAAAGCGUGGGUAGCAAACAGGAUUAGAUACCCCAGUAGUC